CCCCAUUUCGCUCUCUCAAGCCCAAUCUCUCCACUGCCUCGUCAAUCCCUACCGUCACUGCCUCCCCCACCGUCAUAUAAUCUGAACCCGCUAUGGCGCCAUAAUCAUCUCCUCGUCGCUACACCGCCACUAUAAUCACUUCUCUUCCAAAAUCUGCACGAUACCUAAGAACGGCAACGAAAUAGAAAGAGGGGAAAAAAAGAGA
rnacentral:misc_RNA from 1 species